rnacentral:rRNA from 1 species
UACGUAGGGUGCGAGCGUUAAUCGGAAUUACUGGGCGUAAAGCGUGCGCAGGCGGUUUUGUAAGCCAGAUGUGAAAUCCCCGGGCUUAACCUGGGAAUGGCAUUUGGGACUGCAAGGCUUGAGUGCGGCAGAGGAGACUGGAAUUCCUGGUGUAGCAGUGAAAUGCGUAGAUAUCUGGAGGAACACCGGUGGCGAAGGCGGCAUCCUGGACCAACACUGACACUGAGGAGCGAAAGCCAGGGGAGCAAACGGG